UCUGAAUCUGCGAACGGCUCCGCAAACCAGUUGUAAACUACAGCAAGCAAGCACGGGGGGUUGGCCUUCACGGGUCGGUCCCUCGGGCGAUAUGGAUAACCCUGGUAAUUCUGAGGCUAAUACAAGAACGUAACCCCUGGUUGACUGAGCCCUCGCCCUCGGGUGGGGAUACUUGGGAGGCUGGGAAGCGUGCGAGUACUAAUGCGAAUGAGAACCGGGAAUGGGCGCACGCUUGGACCGCGCUACAAAGGAUCAUUACUCGGCAAUCCCUCCGGGGUGCGCUUUGUUUUGGCCCCAGCGGCUCUUGCGGUGUGCUUCUGACCUAUCAACUAGACGGCAGCGUAAUGGACAUGCUAUGGU
rnacentral:rRNA from 1 species